rnacentral:rRNA from 1 species
GACGAACGCUGGCGGCGUGCUUAACACAUGCAAGUCGAACGGAAAGGCCCUGCUUGCAGGGUACUCGAGUGGCAAACGGGUGAGUAACACGUGGGUGAUCUGCCCUGCACUUCGGGAUAAGCCUGGGAAACUGGGUCUAAUACCGGAUAGGAGCCAUUUUUAGUGUGAUGGUUGGAAAGUUUUUUCGGUGUAGGAUGAGCUCGCGGCCUAUCAGCUUGUUGGUGGGGUAAUGGCCUACCAAGGCGGCGACGGGUAGCCGGCCUGAGAGGGUGGACGGCCACAUUGGGACUGAGAUACGGCCCAGACUCCUACGGGAGGCAGCAGUGGGGAAUAUUGCACAAUGGGCGCAAGCCUGAUGCAGCGACGCCGCGUGGGGGAUGACGGCCUUCGGGUUGUAAACUCCUUUCGCUAGGGACGAAGCUUUUUGUGACGGUACCUAGAUAAGAAGCACCGGCUAACUACGUG